rnacentral:rRNA from 1 species
GUGGAUUAGAUACCCUGGUAGUCCACGCCGUAAACGAUGAGCACUAGGUGUCGGGGCCGCAAGGUUUCGGUGCCGCAGUUAACGCAUUAAGUGCUCCGCCUGGGGAGUACGCACGCAAGUGUGAAACUCAAAGGAAUUGACGGGGACCCGCACAAGCAGCGGAGCAUGUGGUUUAAUUCGAAGCAACGCGAAGAACCUUACCAGGGCUUGACAUCCCUCUGACCGGGUGGUAACGCACCCUUUCCUUCGGGACAGAGGAGACAGGUGGUGCACGGCCGUCGACAGCU